rnacentral:rRNA from 1 species
CAUAUCAAUAAGCGGAGGAAAAGAAACCAACAGGGAUUGCCUUAGUAGCGGCGAGUGAAGCGGCAAAAGCUCAAAUUUGAAAUCUGGCUCUUUCAGAGUCCGAGUUGUAAUUUGAAGAAGGUAUCUUUGGGUCUGGCUCUUGUCUAUGUUUCUUGGAACAGAACGUCACAGAGGGUGAGAAUCCCGUGCGAUGAGAUGAUCCAGGCCUAUGUAAAGUUCCUUCGAAGAGUCGAGUUGUUUGGGAAUGCAGCUCUAAGUGGGUGGUAAAUUCCAUCUAAAGCUAAAUAUUGGCGAGAGACCGAUAGCGAACAAGUACAGUGAUGGAAAGAUGAAAAGAACUUUGAAAAGAGAGUGAAAAAGUACGUGAAAUUGUUGAAAGGGAAGGGCUUGAGAUCAGACUUGGUAUUUUGUAUGUUACUUCUUCGGGGGUGGCCUCUACAGUUUAUCGGGCCAGCAUCAGUUUGGGCGGUAGGAGAAUUGCGUUGGAAUGUGGCACGGCUUCGGUUGUGUGUUAUAGCCUUCGUCGAUACUGCCAGCCUAGACUGAGGACUGCGGUUUAUACCUAGGAUGUUGGCAUAAUGAUCUUAAGUCGCCC